GGGGAAUAUUGCACAAUGGGGGAAACCCUGAUGCAGCGACGCCGCGUGGAGGAAGAAGGUCUUCGGAUUGUAAACUCCUGUUGUUGGGGAAGAUAAUGACGGUACCCAACAAGGAAGUGACGGCUAACUACGUGCCAGCAGCCGCGGUAAAACGUAGGUCACAAGCGUUGUCCGGAAUUACUGGGUGUAAAGGGAGCGCAGGCGGGAAGACAAGUUGGAAGUGAAAUCUAUGGGCUCAACCCAUAAACUGCUUUCAAAACUGUUUUUCUUGAGUAGUGCAGAGGUAGGCGGAAUUCCCGGUGUAGCGGUGGAAUGCGUAGAUAUCGGGAGGAACACCAGUGGCGAAGGCGGCCUACUGGGCACCAACUGACGCUGAGGCUCGAAAGUGUGGGUAGCAAACAGGAUUAGAUACCCUGGUAGUCCACACCGUAAACGAUGAUUACUAGGUGUUGGAGGAUUGACCCCUUCAGUGCCGCAGUUAACACAAUAAGUAAUCCACCUGGGGAGUACGACCGCAAGGUUGAAACUCAAAGGAAUUGACGGGGGCCCGCACAAGCAGUGGAGUAUGUGGUUUAAUUCGACGCAACGCGAAGAACCUUACCAAGUCUUGACAUCCCUUGACAGGCAUAGAAAUAUGUUUUCUCUUCGGAGCAAGGAGACAGGUGGUGCAUGGUUGUCGUCAGCUCGUGUCGUGAGAUGUUGGGUUAAGUCCCGCAACGAGCGCAACCCUUAUGGUCAGUUACUACGCGAGAGGACUCUGGCCAGACUGCCGUUGACAAAACGGAGGAAGGUGGGGAUGACGUCAAAUCAUCAUGCCCUUUAUGACUUGGGCUACACACGUACUACAAUGGCGUUAAACAAAGAGAAGCAAGACCGCGAGGUGGAGCAAAACUCAGAAACAACGUCCCAGUUCGGACUGCAGGCUGCAACUCGCCUGCACGAAGUCGGAAUUGCUAGUAAUCGUGGAUCAGCAUGCCACGGUGAAUACGUUCCCG
rnacentral:rRNA from 1 species